AUUGCAUGAUUGUCUAUCAUGUCAUUUGGGAAACUAAAAAAAACGUCAAAUUUUUAUGCCCCACCUACAAUAGUAGAGGGGCAUUAUGUUUUCUGGUCUGUGCCUUCGUUCGUUCGUCCGUUCAGCUGUGCAUCUGUUCGUCUGUGCGUCCGUUCAGGUUAAAGUUUUGGUCAAGGUGGUUUUUGAUGAAGUUGAAGUCACAUCAACUUGAAACUUAGCACACAUGUUCCCUAUGAUAUGAUCUUUCUAAUUUUAAUUUCAAAUUAAAGUUUUGACCCCAAUUUCACAGUCCACUGAACAUGGAAAAUUAUAGUGCGAGUGGGGCAUCCGUGUACUAUGGACACAUUCUUGUUAAUCACUACAAUGAAACAACAACUAUUUUGGAAAACUCCAUUUAAUGACUCAAUGCAACAGUUAAUCAGUGCCAUUUAAAGCUUUGUAGUGUUUGUCAGACAUUGUGGCUGAUUAAAUUUUUUCUUUAUUAUGUACAUUGAUUAUAAAUGACUCCAUAUUUCCACUUGUCCACAG
rnacentral:lncRNA from 1 species